GACGAACGCUGGCGGCGUGCUUAACACAUGCAAGUCGAACGGAAAGGCCUACUUUCCCUUGUGGAUUGCGGGUACUCGAGUGGCGAACGGGUGAGUAACACGUGAGUGAUCUGCCCCCAACUUGGGUAUAAGCCUGGGAAACUGGGUCUAAUUCCCGAUAGGACUGCAGGGUGGUGCCUGUGAUGGAAAACGAUUUUCUAGUGGUUGGGGAUGAGCUCGCGGCCUAUCAGCUUGUUGGUGGGGUAAUGGCCUACCAAGGCGGCGACGGGUAGCCGGCCUGAGAGGGUGGACGGCCACAUUGGGACUGAGAUACGGCCCAGACUCCUACGGGAGGCAGCAGUGGGGAAUAUUGCACAAUGGGCGGAAGCCUGAUGCAGCGACGCCGCGUGGGGGAUGACGGCCUUCGGGUUGUAAACCCCUUUCGACCGCGAGGAAGCCACCUGGUUGGAAGGGUGGUGACGGUAGUGGUAGAAGAAGCACCGGCUAACUACGUG
rnacentral:rRNA from 1 species